AUUGAACGCUGGCGGUAUGCUUAACACAUGCAAGUCGAACGAUGAGAAAGAGCUUGCUCUUUCGAUUAGUGGCGGACGGGUGCGUAACGCGUAGGAAUCUACCUAUUAGUGGGGGACAACUAGGGAAACUUAAGCUAAUACCGCAUACGCCCUACGGGGGAAAGAAGGGGAUCGCAAGACCUUUUGCUAAUAGAUGAGCCUGCGUAGGAUUAGCUAGUUGGUGGGGUAAAAGCUCACCAAGGCGACGAUCCUUAACUGGUUUGAGAGAAUGAUCAGUCGCACUGGAGCGGAGACACGGUCCAAGCGCCUGCGAGAGGCAGGAGUGGGGAAUAUUGGACAAUGGGCUAAAGCCUGAUCCAGCAAUACCGCGUGUGUGAAGAAGGCCUUAGGGUUGUAAAGCACUUUCAAUUGGAAGGAAAACCUCGAAGCUAAUACCUUCGAGUUUGACAUUACCUUUAGAAGAAGCACCGGCUAACUCCGUGCCAGCAGCCGCCGUAA
rnacentral:rRNA from 1 species